rnacentral:rRNA from 1 species
UACGUAGGGGGCGAGCGUUGUCCGGAUUUAUUGGGCGUAAAGAGCGUGUAGGCGGCCAGGUAGGUCUGCUGUGAAAACUCGAGGCUCAACCUCGAGACGUCGGCGGAAACCAUCUGGCUAGAGUCCGGAAGAGGAGAGUGGAAUUCCACGUGUAGCGGUGAAAUGCGUAGAGAUGUGGAGGAACACCGAUGGCGAAGGCAGCCCUUCUGGGCCAACACUGACGCUCAUGCACGAAAGCGUGGGAGCAAACAGG